UUAUGUCCUGCCCCGGGUGCGGCCCGUCGUCGCCCAGCUGGACACCUGCACCUGGUCCCCCUUGGUUCCCUGUGCAACCUCGCCACCCACCACCAGCUGCUCCGCUCGGUCACUGUGGAUUCCCGAUGUCCUGGUAAUUGUGCAGGACCACUUGGUGUGCCUCACCUGAUGGGACACCCAGCGUCACUUCUCAGAGGCUAUUCAUCACCACCACCCCCACCUCUGUUGUGGCCUAUGCGGUCUCACCCACUGCCACCCCCACCACCACCGGUUACAGCACUCGCACAGUCCAUUUGCCAACUGAAGGGGCCCCUCAGCUGUGGCAAUUAUGUGUUUAGAGAAGAUGUCAGAGGUGCAUUACGGCCCGAAUGUUUCCCUGCUCCAACCUGCCCCCUCUGCUGUUCUCUCCUAUUGUCACCCCUAAUGAAAUUGUCACAGUUC